AAGUCACUGCUCCUGCCCCCUUCCAUAUAUCUAAAAAUUGUAAUUUUGAAGAUAAAUAAUAAUUAUACCAUGAGUGUCUAUUAAUGUGUUUAUUUGAAUUGAAAAAAUGCAAAAUUUUAACUGAAAAAUAAACUUGGCCAACUAAGUUGACACAUCCUGACUGCCAGUUAGGAUACAUGGCCAGCAUAUUCUAUAAACUGAAUAAGUUAAAUAUGCAUCUCUAAUAUACUGACAAAAUUUAAAGAUAAAAUAUUGAAAACAUGCUACAAAUGUUAUGUCAACUUUUAUGUGUUUUUAUAUGUCAAUGUGUAAGAGAGUUAUUGCUCCACUUCAGCAGAAUAUGAGUAAAAAAUGUGAGCCAACAACUUUGUUGGCUCCAGCAUUUCCAAGGUAACCAAAAAGCACAGUUAUCCAAGGGCUUAGAAUGGAACCAACAUGGAACUAGAAGUCUAUGGAAUACUACUUAACGUUUUCCAGCGCAGAGUAUUUUUCCCAAACAAAACUUGAAGUAGUGAUUGUAAGGUCGGCACGCAUGGGGAGGGGAGAGGAAUGCUCAAACAGCAGGGACUCAGUAAUGAAUCUUCAAACCAAAAGCCCUGUCUUUCUCUGAAAGACAAUUUCCUGUUUUUUGUUUGUUUCUUUGUUUGUUUUUAAAUAAAACCAGUUUCUAUUUUAAAAGUAGUUAAAUUAGUUAUCCAUUGCCAUAGAACAAAUUACCCUAACAUUUGGCCAUUUGGCAGCUUUAAACAAUAAACAUAUGUGAUGCCACAGCUUCUGUGGGUCUGGAAUCUGGAAUCUGGGACUGGCUUGCUGGGUGGCUUCAGCUCAGCCUCAUGAGGUUGCCGUCAGGCCAUGGGCUGGAGUCGCUGUCUUCCCAGGGCUGUAGAAUCUGCUUUCAGGGUGACUCACAAGGUUGUUGGUGGACCUCAGUUCUUGCUGACUUUUAGCCAGAACCUCAACUCAACUGCCUGAGUGACCUCAUGACAUAAUAGCUGGCUUCCUCCAGACUGAGUAAUCUGAGAGACAAGGAGCCCAAGAAGGAAGUCACCUUUAAUAACCUAAUAUGGGAAGUGACAUAACAUCACUUCUACUAUAUUCUAUUGGUCACGUAGACCAGCCCUGUAUAAUGUAUAUGAGAACUGAGUGAGAGCAUGAAUACCAGUACAUCAGGAUAAUUUCAGGCCAACUUGGAGACUGGCUACCACAGUAGUACAUACACAAAAAUAAUAUCUGAUAAAUUAAAAAUGUUCACCUUGCCAGGCGUGAUCCACUGCACUGGGCCAAGUCUUGCUUUAAAAAAAAAUUAUUAUGAUAAUUUCAGCCUUCUAAAUGGUAUGUUUGGCUCAUUAUUAAUAUGGUUGCUUUAAGUCUAUAAUUUUAGUUUUCUCCUGCUUGUUCCUUCUGGUUGUACUCCUCUGUUCCUCUUUCCCUGCCUUCUUUUUGGAUUAAUUGAAUAUUUUUUAGAAUUCCAUUUUAAUUUAUCUAUUGCCUUUUAGCUACACCUCUUUAUGUUAUCUUUGUAGUGGUUGCCCUAGGGAUUUCACUGUACAAUCUUCAAUUUUCAGUCUAGUGAGAGUUACUAUUGUAACCUGUUGCAUAAAAUAUACCUUGUAAUUGUACAGGUCUAUUUACCCUCUCCUCAAUCAUUUAUAUAAUAGUUGUCAUAUAUAUUACAUCUGUAAACAUUAUGGACUCCAAAAUACAAUGUUAUAAAUUUUUGUUUUAAACAGUUCUAUUCAUUUUUAAUUAAGAAAAAUGUGUUUUUCACUGGGGCUUGUUGGGGUGGGGGGAGGGAUUGGAUCAGGAAAAAUAGCUAAUAAAUGCUGGGCUUAAGACCUAGAUGAUGGGUUGAUCUGUGCAGCAAACCACCAUGGCACACACGUUUACCCGUGUUAGAACCUGCACAUC
rnacentral:lncRNA from 1 species